rnacentral:lncRNA from 12 species
UCCUGGGUGGGAUCUCGGCCGUGCUGCUUAAAGCCGAGCAGAUGGGCUCGGAGCUCAGCUGCCCCAGGCAGGACUUGGCUCGCUUGCACGGGCACAGGAGGAACUCCUGCCCAGGACGGUGACCCGCUGCAUUGCCUCUCCCCAUGGAAGCCCCACCCUUCAGGAAUGAUGUUCCCUGCAAUGACCCCAGCCUGGACAGCACUGGCAGACCAGGGCUAAACUUCAGCUCUGGUUCACACUCAGCAGUUCCUUUUUACAGAGCAAACAGCUCCCUGGAGCCAGAGCUGGUUUGUUGAGGAGCCACAGUGAGGUACCAGAGUGAGUGAGGACUGCAGAGUCUGGCUGCCUGUCACCCCAGCCCAGUGAAAGCCAUGGCCUGGGGACAGGACUGGAGUGACAGCAGCAGCAGGAUUUGCUCCCCACCUGCUGUUCCCCUCUGUACCUGCAGUGCAAAGAAGUCAAAGUGCAACACGAGUUGCAGGUAAUGUCAGCACACCUGCACACAGGAGUUCUGCUGUGCAAGCCAGUCCUUGGAAUCUCUAAAGUGCUUCAUGCUCCUUUCUUGUGAAACAACGCUGAAAUAGUGUGAUGUGUAAUUUCUACAAAUGCUCCAGCUUCUACACACAGCCUCAAACCCCUGAAACAGCCACCCAACAUCAGUG